CAGCAGCCGCGGUAAUACAGAGGGUGCGAGCGUUAAUCGGAUUUACUGGGAGUAAAGCGUGCGUAGGCGGCUUUUUAAGUCGGAUGUGAAAUCCCUGAGCUUAACUUAGGAAUUGCAUUCGAUACUGGGAAGCUAGAGUAUGGGAGAGGAUGGUAGAAUUCCAGGUGUAGCGGUGAAAUGCGUAGAGAUCUGGAGGAAUACCGAUGGCGAAGGCAGCCAUCUGGCCUAAUACUGACGCUGAGGUACGAAAGCAUGGGGAGCAAACAGGAUUAGAUACCCCGGUAGUCCCUGUCUCUUAUAC
rnacentral:rRNA from 1 species